rnacentral:rRNA from 1 species
GAUGAACGCUGGCGGCGUGCUUAACACAUGCAAGUCGAACGAUGAAGCCCAGCUUGCUGGGUGGAUUAGUGGCGAACGGGUGAGUAACACGUGAGUAACCUGCCCUUAACUCUGGGAUAAGCCUGGGAAACUGGGUCUAAUACCGGAUAGGAGCGUCCACCGCAUGGUGGGUGUUGGAAAGAUUUAUCGGUUUUGGAUGGACUCGCGGCCUAUCAGCUUGUUGGUGAGGUAAUGGCUCACCAAGGCGACGACGGGUAGCCGGCCUGAGAGGGUGACCGGCCACACUGGGACUGAGACACGGCCCAGACUCCUACGGGAGGCAGCAGUGGGGGAUAUUGCACAAUGGGCGCAAGCCUGAUGCAGCGACGCCGCGUGAGGGAUGACGGCCUUCGGGUUGUAACCCUCUUUCAGUAGGGAAGAAGCGAAAGUGACGGUACCUGCAGAAGAAGCACCGGCUAACUACGUG